rnacentral:lncRNA from 1 species
UCGGCCCCCAUCUGAGGAAGAAUGAGUACCUAGAUCUGCAUCUACUAUUCUCGUAUAUAGACAUCGAUACUCAUCGGGGAGGCGGUGUUGGAUCCCUUGGCUUACAACCGAGGUUCGAGGAUAGGUGAUGUGCCUAUUCUUAUGCAGGCUCAAGAAGAGAUCUGAAGUGGGUCUCACGAGUAGUUUGUCUUGUUUCAGUCCGUACAAGAAGAGACUU